CUGUGUACAGUUUUGGGCAUUUCAAUAUAAGAAAGACAAGGAGCUACUGGAGAGGGUCCAGCAGAGGCCACAAAGAUGAUGAGGGGUCUGGAGCAUCUCUCUGAUGAGGAGACACUGAGGGAGCUGGGCCUGUUUAGUCUGGAGAACACUGAGAGGGGAUCUCAUCAAUACACAUAAAUAUCUCCAAGGCAGGUGCCAGGAGGAUGGUGCCAGACUCAUUUCAGUGGUGUCCAGUGACAGGGCAAGGAACAAUGGCCAUAAACUAAAACACAAGAAGUUCCACCUCAACAUGAGAACUUCUUUCCAUGGAGGGUGGCAGAGCACUGGAACAGGCUGCCCAGGAAGGUUGUGGAAUCUCCCUCUCUGAAGACAUUCCAGACUCACCUGGGCGUGUUCCUGUGUCGCCUGCUCCAGGUGACCCUGCCUUGGCAGGGGGGUUGCACUGGAUGAUCUCCAGAGGUCCCUUCCAACCCCAGCGAUUCUGUGGUUGUGUGUUUUGGUUUUCUCUGGCAAAGCACCAGCAUUGGAUACAGGAGGGUUGAAGCACAGGUCCAUGGCUGAACUCGGGCUUGUGUGUGACAAGGACUACCACAGGAUUGACAGAGAGAUUGUGGAGUCUCCUGCACUGGAGAUAUUCAAGAACCACAGGGACACAAUCCUGUGCCGUGUGCUCUGGGAUGGCCCUGCUUGAGCAGGGAGGUUGGACCAGAUGACCCACUGUGGUCCUUUCCAACCUGACCCAUUCUGUGAUUCUGUGGGAUGGGCUAUAUUGCUCAUUCCAGCUCUCCUGGCAUCCUGCACCCAUCACAAGAGCUUUGAUCCCAGCCCUGCCUCUUCCUUAAGCAAGUGCUCCCACUCCCUGUGUGCAAAUUCCUGGUGCAUUUACAUCCCCGUGCUUUGCAUGGGGCAGUGGAGCCGGUCACAAACAAAACUGGAAGGGAGAAAGCACAGCAGUGCAACUAACAUUUUGACAUCUCAAAUGCCACAGCAGUGUCGUGACCAGAAGGGUUUAAAUCUUGGUUUGAAAACAAAACUGUUGUGGUUAAGAGGGAAUUUGGAGUGGCAAUAAAAUAGGGUGUUACAUUCAGAGCAGAAUUAAAAUAAACAGUGCCUAAAAUGUAGUACCAAAAGUUGUCCAGUAACGAUAGAAAAACAGAGCAAUGUCCUGUAAAUAAAUGUUUUGAGUGUUUUAAACAA